GACGAACGCUGGCGGCGUGCCUAAUACAUGCAAGUCGAGCGCACAGUUUAUACCGUAGCUUGCUACACCAUAGACUGUGAGUUGCGAACGGGUGAGUAACGCGUAGGUAACCUGCCUGGUAGCGGGGGAUAACUAUUGGAAACGAUAGCUAAUACCGCAUAAUAUUGAUUAUUGCAUGAUAAUUGAUUGAAAGAUGCUAUUGCAUCACUACCAGAUGGACCUGCGUUGUAUUAGCUAGUAGGUGAGGUAACGGCUCACCUAGGCGACGAUACAUAGCCGACCUGAGAGGGUGAUCGGCCACACUGGGACUGAGACACGGCCCAGACUCCUACGGGAGGCAGCAGUAGGGAAUCUUCGGCAAUGGACGAAAGUCUGACCGAGCAACGCCGCGUGAGUGAAGAAGGGUUUCGGAUCGUAAAGCUCUGUUGUAAGAGAAGAACGGGUGUGAGAGUGGAAAGUUCACACUGUGACGGUAGCUUACCAGAAAGGGACGGCUAACUACGUG
rnacentral:rRNA from 1 species